AUUUAGGUUUGAUCCAUAUCGAGUUACUUUUUGUAUAUGGUGUUAUGUAAGGGUCCAGCUUCAUUAUUCUGGCUGUGGAUGUCCAGUUUUCCCAGCACCAGUUGUUGAAAAGACUUUCUUUUCCCCAUUGAAUGGUCUGGGCACCCUUUUCAAAAGUCAGUUGACCAAGUAUUACAAAGGUUUAUUUCUGGGCUCUCUAUUUUAUUCCCUUGAUGGAUGUGUCUGUCUGCAUGGCAGUACCACACUGAUUACUUUCAGCUUUGGAAUCAGGGAGUAUGUCAUCUGCCAUUGAAUGAGUAUCCACUGUGUGCUAGACCUUGUAGGUGGAGCGGUGACUUGGACAUCGUCCCUGCUGGUCCAUUGCCCUGCCGUCCCCGAGUCUUGACUUUAUUCUGGAUAGUGGAGGUUGGCACAAAAACGUCUCCCAGUUAAAGGAGUUAUAAUUCAGUCACCUGACCAUUAGUGACAAGUCAAAAAAAAUGACUCAGUGGGUUUAGUGCCAAGGUAGCAGUGGGUAGCAGUGUACCAUUUGAUGAUUAGCAUAUAGCCGGUUCUCUUAGUGAACGUUUCUCUUUGUGUAUUUGCUUUUCCCCCACGUAGCGACAAAGUUAGUUUCUAAUGACUUCCAUUCUCUACUCUUAUCAGAAGCAGAUUUCACCUGGAAUAUUCUAUAAACCCUUUGAAACCCUCUAUUUUAGCCAUGGUGUCUUCUAAGCAAAGUAAUUUUUUUGAACUUAAAUAACAAAUUGAUAGUUGAAUUAACCUUUUAAAAUAAAAUAUUAAGUGUAGCUAAGAAAUCUGAUUAUUUAAAGGUAUUCCAACAAUAAAUUAUUUGGGAUGGGGCUGGGGAGGUCAGGUUUAUUGAGGUGUAAGUUACAUAUGGUAAAAGUCACCCUUUUAAAGUGAACAAUUUGAUGAAUUUUGAACAACCUCAGUUAUGCAACCACCAUAACAUGAUGGAUUGUUUUAGUAAAUGUUCUUCUUACCAUGAGUUCAUCCUUGUUUAAGUCUGGAGUUUGCCAUGUUAAGGUUGCAGGCGCUUGAAAGUGUAAUAAAAUUGUAGGUUUUUUAAUCUUUUUUUUAAUCUCUUACUGGAAGGAUGAAUUAUAGUUUAAAUAGUAAUAAUACAUUGUCGUUGUUACACUUACUCUUUAAGUAAGCUAGGUCAUUAUUUUCCAAAAUGAAUGUAGUAGAAUUUCAGAAUGGCUUCUGGAACAUGUUUCCUGUUAAAAGGCCUAGAAUAUCCUGCAGUGGUAGAGUUUGCUCCGUUCCAGAAGAUAGCCAAAAAGAAGCUGAGAAAAAAAGAUGCCAAGACUGGAAGCAUCGAAGAUGAUCCAGAAUAUAAGAAGUUUUUAGAAACCUACUGUGUGGAGGAAGAGAAGACCAGUGCCAACCCUGAGACUCUGCUGGGGGAGAUGGAGGCGAAGACAAGAGAGCUCAUUGGUCUGUUUUGCUCAUUUCUUCUCUUUUCUUUAUUGAGAGAUUUACUCGUAGAGGAUAUACGUUUUUUCUCUUUUUCUUGAUUGUGAUAACAAGUUGAAACUUGUUACAGGCUUGACAGAAAUGUAGAGUGAUUUCCAGUUUUGACAAAAGAAUGGCAAGAUGGCAGCAUGGGAAAAUAUUUCUGAGCAUUGGUUGAUGGAGAGCACGUGAUUUUUUUAGUUACGAGCAUUUUAAGUUAUGAUGCUUCCGAAUGAGCAGUGGAGAAGACACAUGAAUGGUCUGUUCCUGAGCGUCAGGGAAGGCAUGUUGUGUCACGUAGUUGAAGUCAGCGGUCACAGACGGAUGCCUCAGGAGCCCAUAGGAAUGAGAUGUUUUGCUUGUGGUGAGGUCAUGGUGCUGCUUCAACACAGAUGCCAGGCUCCCUGAGCCAGGCCAACUUGUGGAUAAGCCCAGCCAGAGCACAGAAUCGAGUUUAAAUCCAGCCUUCCACCCCAUGCCCACAAGUGGUGUACUUUAGAAAUAGUUACUUCCCAGUAGCAUCGACAUGAAAAUCAGGCAAACUGUUGUCAUUUAGUCCCAGACACACCUGGCAGUGUUUCUCCUCUCUGUGGAUCUCCUUUCCUCAAAGCCACCGUUCUUCACCUCUAAUCUCUCCCGCCCAGGCUGUGCCCUGCCCAUCCAUCAAGAUGGAUGUACUUUGGGAGGCCAGGGUGGGCGGAUCACAAGGUCAGGAGUUCGAGAUCAGCCUGGCCGACAUGGUGAAACCCCAUCUCUACUAAAGAUACAAAAAAUUAGCAGGGCAUGGUGAUGCGCGCCUAUAGUUCCAGCUACUGAGGAGGCUGAGGCAGGAGAAUCGCUUGAACCCAGAAGGCACAGGUUGCAGUGAGCCGAGAUCGCACCAUUGCACUCCAGCCUGGUGACAGAGCGAGACUCCAUCUCAAAAAACAAACAAAAUUGAUGUGACGUG
rnacentral:sRNA from 1 species